rnacentral:rRNA from 1 species
AGCAGCAGCCGCGGGAAUACGAAGGGGGCUAGCGUUGCUCGGAAUUACUGGGCGUAAAGGGAGCGUAGGCGGACAUUUAAGUCAGGGGUGAAAUCCCAGAGCUCAACUCUGGAACUGCCUUUGAUACUGGGUGUCUUGAGUGUGAUAGAGGUAUGUGGAACUCCGAGUGUAGAGGUGAAAUUCGUAGAUAUUCGGAAGAACACCAGUGGCGAAGGCGACAUACUGGAUCAUUACUGACGCUGAGGCUCGAAAGCGUGGGGAGCAAACAGGAUUAGAGACCCCGGUAGUCCCUGUCUCUUAUAC